rnacentral:rRNA from 1 species
GACAGAGGUGGCAAGCGUUGUUCGGAAUCACUGGGCUUAAAGGGCGCGUAGGCGGUGCGGUAAGUCCGUGGUGGAAUCCUGCAGCUCAACUGCAGAAUUGCCUCGGAAACUGUCGCACUUGAGUCAGUGAGGGGAGGGCGGAAUUCCUGGUGUAGCAGUGAAAUGCGUAGAUAUCAGGAGGAAGGCCCGUGGCGAAGGCGGCCCUCUGGCGCUUGACUGACGCUGAGGCGCGAAAGCGUGGGUAG